GACAGAGGAUGCAAGCGUUAUCCGGAAUGAUUGGGCGCAAAGCGUCUGUAGGUGGCUUUUCAAGUCCGCCGAUCAAAUCCCAGGGCUCAACCCUGGACAGGCGGUGGAAACUACCAAGCUGGAGUACGGUAGGGGCAGAGGGAAUUUCCGGUGGAGCGGUGAAAUGCAUUGGAGAUCGGAAAGAACACCAACGGCGAAAGCAGCU
rnacentral:rRNA from 1 species